rnacentral:rRNA from 1 species
UACGUAGGGUGCAAGCGUUAAUCGGAAUUACUGGGCAUAAAGCGUGCGCAGGCGGUUCGUUGUGUCGGCGGUGAAAGCCCCGGGCUUAACCUGGGAAUGGCCGUUGAAACUGGCGAACUGGAGUGUGGCAGAGGGGGGUGGAAUUCCGCGUGUAGCAGUGAAAUGCGUAGAGAUGCGGAGGAACACCGAUGGCGAAGGCAGCCCCCUGGGCUAACACUGACGCUCAGGCACGAAAGCGUGGGGAGCAAACAGG